CAAGCAUGCAAAACCAGGAGCCAGGGAGAGUUGACAGUGAGAGUCUAUGGACCAGAGCCCAGAGGAGUUUCAAAGUCAUGACUUCCUGAGACCGGCGAUCUUGUCCAGGGUGAACUCAGAGCAGACAUCGGUGCUGUAGGCCCACCUGAACUGAGAGCAUCAGGGCAUGUCUGCCUAGCCUCACCUUUUUCUCAGCAUAGGGCCUGUUGCAGGAAAAGAAUGGCUGCUUUCUAAGCACAAGAAUCUACUCUGAAGAAAUUCCCCCCAGCCUCCUGGCAGCAGGCGCCUUCCCUGUCCCCUACAGAAGGCGGCUGAGAGCUCAUCUACUCUGCAUUAAACAGCGAGGCCGGGUAGCUAGUGAGCUGGAACAUCUGGGUAGACAUCAGGGAAGGGUGGGAGGUAUUCAGCCUGUGCUACUUCAGUCUCAGCUUGCCGCUUUGCUUGGGGACACUGCUUCUCCUGGUGGCUUGCCCUGGAAGGAAGCACAGAGCUCCCGAGUGACUCCUUUUUCUGUAUCCUGCAGGAUCACACCUCAACACCCAAACCCUGAACUCCACACACUCUUGUCAUGCACACGGGAGGAGACCUGGACCAGAGGGCUACUGAAGGGUCGCACGCGUUCUGAGCUCCCCGGCAUGACCUCUGUAAGGAGUUUCCUUUAGUCUCCUAUUCGCAUGAAUGACUGGCUGUAGACGCAUGACCUACAGUCUUCAGUCCUGCCUCUAGCGACUAUGGAUCUCUGUGGGAAUCAGGACAAAGGCGGCGAGAGAAGGGAGCGGAUAAGGAGCCCCAAAG
rnacentral:lncRNA from 1 species